CGAACGGGUUAGUAACGCGUGGGAACAUACACAGCACAGGGGGAUAACCAUUGGAAACGAUGGCUAAUACCGCAUACGCCCUAUUGGGGAAAGAUUUAUCGGUGUUGGAUUGGCCCGCGUUAGAUUAGCUAGUUGGUGGGGUAAUGGCUCACCAAGGCGACGAUUUAUAGCUGGUUUGAGAGGAUGAUCAGCAACACUGGAACUGAGACACGGUCCAGACUCCUACGGGAGGCAGCAGUCGGGAAUAUUGUGCAAUGGGGGCAACCCUGACACAGCCAUGCCGCGUGAGUGAAGAAGGCCUUAGGGUUGUAAAGCUCUUUCAGAUGUGAGGAUGAUGACGAUAGCAUCAGAAGAAGCUCCGGCUAACUUCGUGCCAGCAGCCGCGGUAAUACGAAGGGAGCUAGCGUUGUUCGGAAUUACUGGGCGGUAAAGGGCGUGUAGGCGGAUUAUCAAGUUAGGGGUGAAAUCCCGGGGCUCA
rnacentral:rRNA from 1 species